UACGUAGGGGGCAAGCGUUGUCCGGAAUCAUUGGGCGUAAAGAGCGUGUAGGCGGUCCGGUAAGUCUGAUGUGAAAGCCCACGGCUCAACCGUGGAGGGUCAUUGGAAACUGGGGGACUUGAGUACAGAAGAGGAAAGCGGAAUUCCACGUGUAGCGGUGAAAUGCGUAAAGAUGUGGAGGAACACCAGUGGCGAAGGCGGCUUUCUGGUCUGUAACUGACGCUGAGGCGCGAAAGCGUGGGGAGCAAACAGG
rnacentral:rRNA from 1 species